rnacentral:tRNA from 1 species
GUUUAGGUAGCUCAGUUGGUAGAGCAGAAGACUGAAAAUCUUUUAGUCAGUGGUUCAAAUCCGCUUCUAAACA